UUUAAGAUUUUAAUUUAAAGUUUAAUNUGCCCAAUGAAUUUUUAAAUGGCUGCAGAAUUUUAUACUGUACAAAGGUAGCAUAAUAAUUUGUUUUUUAAUUAAAAACUAGAAUGAAAGAUUAAAUGAAAUAUAAACUGUUUCAAUCAAAUAAAUAUUAAAAUUUUUAUUUAAGUAAAAAAACUUAAAUUUUAUUUAAAGACGACAAGACCCUAUAGAAUUUUAUUUAUUAAAUUUUAAUUAAAAUUUAAUAAAUUUUUUUGGGGUAAAAAAAAAAUUAAAAUAAUUUUUUUUUAAAAAAACAUUUAUUUAUGAAAAAUAUAUCUUAAAAUUUAAAUUUUAAAAAUUAAUUACCUUAGGGAUAACAGCAUAAUUUUUUUUAAAANAUCUUAUUUAUAAAAAA
rnacentral:rRNA from 1 species